rnacentral:tRNA from 2 species
GGAGAGGUGCCCGAGUGGUUGAAGGGGCACGCCUGGAAAGCGUGUGUGCGGCUUCCGUACCCAGGGUUCAAAUCCCUGCCUCUCCG